CCUACGGGUGGCAGCAGUGGGGAAUAUUUCGCAAUGGGCGAAAGCCUGACGCUGCGACGCCGCGUGAGGGAUUGAGGUCUUCGGAUCGUAAACCUCUGUCAGCAGGGAAGCACGGUCACUGUGCUAAUCAGCAGUGAAUUGACGGUACCUGCAAUGUAAGCACCGGCUAACUCCUUGCCAGCAGCCGCGGUAAUACGGAGGGUGCGAGCGUUAAUCGGAAUUUCUGGGCGUAAGGCGUUCGUAGGCGGUAUGGCAAGUCAAGGGUGAAAGCCCCGCGCUCACCGUGGGAACUGCCUUUGAAACUGGCAAACUGGAGUGUGUGAGAGGAUAGUGGAAUUCCAGGUGUAGGAGUGAAAUCCGUAGAUAUCUGGAGGAACAUCAGUGGCGAAGGCGACUAUCUGGCACAUAACUGACGCUGAGGAGCGAAAGCGUGGGUAGCAAACAGGAUUAGAUACCCCUGUAGUC
rnacentral:rRNA from 1 species